rnacentral:lncRNA from 1 species
CCAAGUUGAGAAGCACUGUCCUAGGGGCUCAGGAAUUGCUUGGCCAACCUUCUUGCUUUAGAGAAGCCUAAAGUUUGUUUGGGGAGAUAAAAAUAUACAUUCCUUGGCCAGAUCAGUGCUGCUCAAAGUGUGGUCUCAGGACCAGAAGCAGCAGCAUUACCUGGGAACUUGUUAGAAACGCCUAUACUUGGACCCCACCCCAGACAUACUGAAUUAGAGACUUGGGUGGUGGGGACCCCCUGUGUGUUCUAUUAAGCUCUCCAGGUGGUUCUUAUGCAUG